UAUGGCCAUAUCAUGUUGAAACACCAGUUCUUAUAUGAUCACCAAAGUUAAGCAAUGUUGAGCCUGUUCAGCACCUAGAUGGGUGAUGGCUUGGGAAUACCAGGUGAUGUAAG